rnacentral:rRNA from 1 species
UCACUAGUCGAGUGACACUGCGCCGAAAAUGUACCGGGGCUAAACAUAUUACCGAAGCUGUGGAUUGUCCUUUGGACAAUGGUAGGAGAGCGUUCUAAGGGCGUUGAAGCAUGAUCGUAAGGACAUGUGGAGCGCUUAGAAGUGAGAAUGCCGGUGUGAGUAGCGAAAGACGGGUGAGAAUCCCGUCCACCGAUUGACUAAGGUUUCCAGAGGAAGGCUCGUCCGCUCUGGGUUAGUCGGGUCCUAAGCUGAGGCCGACAGGCGUAGGCGAUGGAUAACAGGUUGAUAUUCCUGUACCACCUAUAAUCGUUUUAAUCGAUGGGGGGACGCAGUAGGAUAGGCGAAGCGUGCGAUUGGAUUGCACGUCUAAGCAGUAAGGCUGAGUAUUAGGCAAAUCCGGUACUCGUUAAGGCUGAGCUGUGAUGGGGAGAAGACAUUGUGUCUUCGAGUCGUUGAUUUCACACUGCCGAGAAAAGCCUCUAGAUAGAAAAUAGGUGCCCGUACCGCAAACCGACACAGGUAGUCAAGAUGAGAAUUCUAAGGUGAGCGAGCGAACUCUCGUUAAGGAACUCGGCAAAAUGACCCCGUAACUUCGGGAGAAGGGGUGCUCUUUAGGGUUAACGCCCAGAAGAGCCGCAGUGAAUAGGCCCAAGCGACUGUUUAUCAAAAACACAGGUCUCUGCUAAACCGUAAGGUGAUGUAUAGGGGCUGACGCCUGCCCGGUGCUGGAAGGUUAAGAGGAGUGGUUAGCUUCUGCGAAGCUACGAAUCGAAGCCCCAGUAAACGGCGGCCGUAACUAUAACGGUCCUAAGGUAGCGAAAUUCCUUGUCGGGUAAGUUCCGACCCGCACGAAAGGCGUAACGAUUUGGGCACUGUCUCAACGAGAGACUCGGUGAAAUCAUAGUACCUGUGAAGAUGCAGGUUACCCGCGACAGGACGGAAAGACCCCGUGGAGCUUUACUGUAGCCUGAUAUUGAAAUUCGGCACAGCUUGUACAGGAUAGGUAGGAGCCUUUGAAACGUGAGCGCUAGCUUACGUGGAGGCGCUGGUGGGAUACUACCCUAGCUGUGUUGGCUUUCUAACCCGCACCACUUAUCGUGGUGGGAGACAGUGUCAGGCGGGCAGUUUGACUGGGGCGGUCGCCUCCUAAAAGGUAACGGAGGCGCUCAAAGGUUCCCUCAGAAUGGUUGGAAAUCAUUCAUAGAGUGUAAAGGCAUAAGGGAGCUUGACUGCGAGACCUACAAGUCGAGCAGGGUCGAAAGACGGACUUAGUGAUCCGGUGGUUCCGCAUGGAAGGGCCAUCGCUCAACGGAUAAAAGCUACCCCGGGGAUAACAGGCUUAUCUCCCCCAAGAGUUCACAUCGACGGGGAGGUUUGGCACCUCGAUGUCGGCUCAUCGCAUCCUGGGGCUGUAGUCGGUCCCAAGGGUUGGGCUGUUCGCCCAUUAAAGCGGUACGCGAGCUGGGUUCAGAACGUCGUGAGACAGUUC